UCCUUUUGUUAAUAAUUUAAGGUCUAGCCUGCCCACUGAAAUUUUAAAUGGCCGUGGUAUUUUGACCGUGCUAAGGUAGCAUAAUCAUUAGUUUUUUAAUUAAAAACUGGAAUGAAAGGUUGGAUGAGAAAAUAGCUGUCUCUGUUAAAUUUAAUUAGAAUUUUAUUUUUAAGUUAAAAAGCUUAAUUAUAAUUAAAAGACGAGAAGACCCUAUAGAGUUUAAUUAUUGAAUAAAAAUUAUAUUUUAGUAUUAAUUUAUUUAUUUUAUUUACUAAUUUAAUUGGGGUGAUUGAAAAAUUUAAUUAACUUUUUUUAUUUAAAGCCAUUAAUUUAUGAAUAAAUGAUCCAAUAUUUUUGAUUAUAAGAUAAAAUUACCUUAGGGAUAACAGCGUAAUUUUUUUAGAAAGUUCAUAUUAAAAAAAAAGAUUGCGACCUCGAUGUUGGAUUAAAAUAAAUUUUUGGUGUAGAAGCUAAAAAUAUUGGGUCUGUUCGACCUUUGAAAUUUUACAUGAU
rnacentral:rRNA from 1 species